rnacentral:rRNA from 1 species
AUUGAACGCUGGCGGAAUGCUUUACACAUGCAAGUCGAACGGCAGCACGGGUGCUUGCACCUGGUGGCGAGUGGCGAACGGGUGAGUAAUACAUCGGAACGUACCCAGUCGUGGGGGAUAACGUAGCGAAAGUUACGCUAAUACCGCAUACGUCCUGAGGGAGAAAGCGGGGGACCGUAAGGCCACGCGCGAUUGGAGCGGCCGAUGGGGGAUGAGGUAGUUGGUGGGGUAAAGGGCUACCAAGGCGACGAUCCGUCGCGGGUCUGAGAGGACGGCCCGCCACACUGGAACUGAGACACGGUCCAGACUCCCACGGGAGGCAGCAGUGGGGAAUUUUGGACAAUGGGCGAAAGCCUGAUCCAGCCAUUCCGCGUGAGUGAAGAAGGCCUUCGGGUUGUAAAGCUCUUUCGGCAGGGAAGAAACGGCUUGGGAUAAUACCCCGGGCUAAUGACGGUACCUGAAGAAGAAGCACCGGCUAACUACGUGCCAGCCGCCGCCGUAA